GGGCGGAUGGCGCAAUUGGUUAGCGCAGAAAUCUUAUACAUUUCCGGUUCCUGGUUCGAGUCCAGGUCCGCCCA
rnacentral:tRNA from 1 species